GAAAAAUAGCCGUGACUCUACAGUUCUGACAGAGGCACCCAGGUCUGCACUCACAAAACCUCCCAUUUUGUUGUUAGACCUGAACUCAGAACAUCUAAGAUGGACUUUUGGCUAAGCUGGAUUUUCCUUUUUGCUCUUUUCAAAGGUGUCCAGUGUGAUGUGCAGCUGGUAGAGACUGGGGGAGGCUUGGUACAGCCAGGAGGGUCAUUGAAACUCUCCUGUUCAGCUUCUGGAUUCACAUUCAGUGAUUACUGGAUGCACUGGGUCCGCCAGGCACCAGGGAAGGGCCUAGAGUGGGUUGGAGUGAUUAAACACAAACCUGAUAAUUAUGCAACACAGUAUGUAGAGUCUGUGAGAGGCAGAUUCACCAUCUCAAGAGAUGACUCCAAAAGCAUGCUGUACCUGCAAAUGAACAGCUUAAGAGUUGAAGACACCGCCAUUUAUUACUGUGCUAGAAACACAGUAAUAAGAUUUUAG